GCGGGUAUGGUAUAGCGGCAUUACAUUUGCUUCCCAAGCAAAUAAUACGGGUUCGACCCCCGUUACCCGCUCCA
rnacentral:tRNA from 1 species